AAAAUAUAUUCAGUGCUCACUGUGUAACAAUGCAGAGAAGAUUAGCAUGGCUCCAAUGAAAGGAUGGCAUGCAAGUCUAUGUAACGUCCAUACAUUUU
rnacentral:snRNA from 1 species